rnacentral:rRNA from 1 species
ACCGCGGACUGAUGUAUCGGAUUGGUACUAGCCAAUGGCGAGUCGUUGUACAUACAGGCGGACUGCUCAUAACACGUAGUUUAAACCGUUAACNCUAUGGAUGGGCAUAACCUCGNGGAAACUGAGAAUAAUACCCAAUGGGCCACAGUGCCUGAAUGGCCUGUGGUUGAAAUGAUUUAUCGCCGUAGGAUAGGACUGCGGCCUAUCAGCUUGUUGGUGAGGUAAUGGCCCACCAAGGCUAUAACAGGUACGGGCUCUGAGAGGAGGGGCCCGGAGAUGGGUACUGAGACACGGACCCAGGCCCUAUGGGGCGCACAGGCGAGAACCUUUGCAAUGUGCGAAAGCACGACAAGGUUAA